CCUACGGGAGGCAGCAGUGGGGGAUAUUGCACAAUGGGGGGAACCCUGAUGCAGCGACGCCGCGUGGGUGAAGGAGUAUUUCGGUAUGUAAAGCCCUAUCGGCAGGGAAGAAGCAAGACGGUACCUGACUACGAAGCCCCGGCUAACUACGUGCCAGCAGCCGCGGUAAUACGUAGGGGGCGAGCGUUAUCCGGAUUCACUGGGUGUAAAGGGCGCGUAGACGGCCAUGCAAGCCAGGGGUGAAAGCCCGGGGCCCAACCCCGGGACUGCCCUUGGAACUGCAUGGCUGGAGUGCGGGAGGGGCAGGCGGAAUUCGUGGUGUAGCGGUGAAAUGCGUAGAUAUCAGGAGGAACACCGGCGGCGAAGGCGGCCUGCUGGACCGCGACUGACGUUGAGGCUCGAAAGCGUGGGGAGCGAACAGGAUUAGAUACCCUAGUAGUC
rnacentral:rRNA from 1 species